UACGGAGGGUGCAAGCGUUAUCCGGAAUUACUGGGUUUAAAGGGUGCGUAGGCGGUUUUAUAAGUCAGUGGUGAAAAGUCUGGGCUCAACCGAGGCCUUGCCAUUGAAACUGUAAAACUUGAAAUAAGUUAAGGUAGGCGGAAUGUGACAUGUAGCGGUGAAAUGCAUAGAUAUGUCAUAGAACACCAAUUGCGAAGGCA
rnacentral:rRNA from 1 species